AUUGAACGCUCGCGGCAGGCCUAACACAUGCAAGUCGAGCGAGCGGCGGACGGGUGAGUAAUGUCUGGGAAACUGCCUGAUGGAGGGGGAUCACUACUGGAAACGGUAGCUAAUACCGCAUACCCUCAGAUGUGCCCAGAUGGGAUUAGCUAGGAGGUGAGGUAACGGCUCACCUAGGCGACGAUCCCUAGAUGGUCUGUGAGGAUGACCAGCCAAACUGGAACUAAGACACAGGCCAGACUACUGCGGGAGGCAGCAGUGGGGAAUAUUGCACAAUGGGCGCAAGGCUGAUACAGCCAUGCCGCGUGUAUGAAGAAGGCCUGCGGGUGGUAAAGUGCUUUCAGCGGGGAGGCGUUACCCGCAGAAGAAGCACCGGCUAACUCCGUGCCAGCAGCCGCGGUAAUAC
rnacentral:rRNA from 1 species